GUAGAGAGGAGAGAAGGGGAGAAGGAGGAGGAGGAGGAGGAGAGGAGAGAAGGGGGAGAAGGAGGAGGAGGUGGAGAGGAGAGAAGGGGAGAAGGAGGAGGAGGUGGAGAGGAGAGGAGAGAAGGAGGAGGAGGAGGUGGAGAGGAGAUAAGGGGAGAAGAGGAGGAGGUGGAGAGGAGAGAAGGGGAGAAGGAGAAGGAGGAGGUGGAGAGGAGAGAAGGGGAGAAGGAGUAGGAGGAAGUGGAGAGGAGAGAAGGGGAGAAGGAGGAGGAGAAGGUGGAGAGUAGAGAAGAGGAGAAGGAGGAGGAGGUGGAGAGGAG
ensembl:lncRNA